AUACGGGGAUUCCCUAGUACGGCGAGUGAGCGGGAAGAGCUCAAAUUUGAAAUCUGGUGGCCUCAGGUCAUCCGAGUUGUAAUCUAUAGAAGUGUUUUCCGUGCUGGCUCAUGUACAAGUCCCUUGGAACAGGGCGUCAUAGAGGGUGAGAAUCCCGUCCUUGACAUGAACUACCAGUGCUCUGUGAUACAUUUUCAACGAGUCGAGUUGUUUGGGAAUGCAGCUCAAAAUGGGUGGUAAAUUCCAUCUAAAGCUAAAUAUUGGCGAGAGACCGAUAGCGAACAAGUACCGUGAGGGAAAGAUGAAAAGCACUUUGGAAAGAGAGUUAAACAGUAUGUGAAAUUGUUGAAAGGGAAACGAUUGAAGUCAGUCGUGCUCUUUGGAUUCAGCCGGUUCUGCCGGUGUACUUCCUUUGAGUGGGGUCAACAUCAGUUUUGAUCGCUGGAUAAAGGCUGGAGGAACGUAGUACCCUCGGGUAAACUUAUAGCCUCCUGUCACAUACAGUGGUUGGGACUGAGGAACGCAGCACGCCUUUAUGGCCGGGAUUCGUCCACGUACGUGCUUAGGAUGUUGACAUAAUGGCUUUAAACGACCCGUCUA
rnacentral:rRNA from 1 species